CACUAAGAAGCUAAAAUUAGCGCUAGCCUUUUAAGCUAGAGGGGGGGGGCCUCACGCCCCCCUUAGUGGU
rnacentral:tRNA from 1 species